rnacentral:rRNA from 1 species
UGGCGCACGGGUGCGUAACGCGUAACCAACCUACCCAGAACUGGGGGAUAGCCCGCCGAAAGGCGGAUUAAUACCGCAUAAGCCAAGGACCCGGCAUCGGGGGCUUGGUAAAGAUUUAUUGGUUCUGGAUGGGGUUGCGUAGCAUUAGCUAGUUGGCGGGGUAAAGGCCCACCAAGGCGACGAUGCUUAGGGGACCUGAGAGGGUGAUCCCCCACACUGGCACUGAGAUACGGGCCAGACUCCUACGGGAGGCAGCAGUAGGGAAUAUUGGGCAAUGGCCGCGAGGCUGACCCAGCCAUGCCGCGUGCCGGAUGACGGCCUUCUGGGUUGUAAACGGCUUUUCUCAGGGAAGAAAACGCUCCUGCGGGGGUAACUGACGGUACCUGAGGAAUAAGCACCGGCUAACUCCGUGCCAGCAGCCGCGGUAAUACGGAGGGUGCAAGCGUUGUCCGGAUUUAUUGGGUUUAAAGGGUGCGUAGGUGGCCGGCUAAGUCCGGGGUGAAAGCCCACAGCUCAACUGUGGAACUGCCCUGGAUAC